UACAGAGGGUGCAAGCGUUAAUCGGAAUUACUGGGCGUAAAGCGUGCGUAGUCGGCUUUUUAAGUCGGGUGUGAAAUCCCCGGGCUCAACCUGGGAAUUGCAUUCGAUACUGGAUGGCUAGAGUUCGGCAGAGGGAAGCGGAAUUUCGGGUGUAGCGGUGAAAUGCGUAGAUAUCCGAAGGAACAUCAGUGGCGAAAGCGGCUUCCUGGACCAGAACUGACGAUCAGGCACGAAAGCGUGGGGAGCAAACAGG
rnacentral:rRNA from 1 species